rnacentral:lncRNA from 1 species
AUGGUGUAACAGUGUUUUGUGUGUCCAUGGUGAGGUUGCAGACCUUUAUCGAGGUCACAGAGCAAGUCCAGCAAGAGUUGAACACAGGCUGCCAGAAUUCCACCCUUGUCUCAUUCCGAGAUUGUGUGCUGAGGGUUUUCAACUGCAUCUCUAAAGGGAAGGCCAAAGAAAGAGCAACAGGAAAGGAUGGUAAAAAGGGGGUAGAAAGGAAGAAGGAAGGGAAGAAAAAAGGGAAAACAGCAAGCUCUCUUUCCAGAGCCACACAUUUUUUUCUGUUUGCUCAGUGGCAGUCUGUUAAAGAAAUACUUCAUUGUCACUGAACACAGAGUCAUUAAAGGCACCUUGGAAAUUUGGACCCUUUUACUAGAAUCAGGGCUUAAAUAGCAACUUAAUUUAUGACACUUCUCGAGGCUGAUGGCGUUUUUGCUCUAAGGCACACAGAGCACUGCAUUAUCUGUCAUUUUCAUUAGAUUCAAGCUACAGCUGGGCCAAAAAGACUUAGUUCUAGCAUAUGUGCUCAAAAUGGCCAAGCUGCGAUUGUCCAAAUUCACCCUUUCAAGAUUGCAUUACUGAACAACUGGAGCCAAAGCUAGAAAUUGGAGAGAGCAAAGCGCCUGAAUUCCACUUGGAAAAUGGCAAACACCAUAGGCUCUGAAGAUUGAAGCGUAUUAUCAUGACUAACUCAAAGGGUCAGAGGAGACACUGGCUUCCACCAGCAAGCUCAACGUCUUUUGGCACAUCUGAGGUGGGGAUGGAAGCUGCAAGAGCCUAGAUUUUGACACCACUUAACAAAGAAAAGCCAAUGUCUUUCAUUCCCCUCUGUGCCUUUCAGUAUACCUUGGCCAUGUGGAAUGCAAUAGGUUCUGUACCCAGGUCUUGACCUGGGCCAGCUGGUCUUGAGCCCCGUAGGACGUAGUCUGUGGCCUGCUGCAUACUUGGAUAGUGUGGGGUGUAUAAAAAGCAACUCAUCCUGAGGGAGAAAAGCAUCCAACUGUCAUAAGCUUGAGUCUCCAUGCAAGUCUCCACUAUUUUAUAAAUUCAGUUCUUUAUGUGAACAUGCGAAGAAGACAUAUUGAAAAAUUAGCCCCACAAAGAAAUAAAUACAAAAAUCCCCACUCCAGGUUGCUGGAAAUGGGAGAACCACAGGGCUGGGGAAGAUGGUCACUCCACCCAGUGGACUUCAUGUUAUUUGAAGCAGACAUUGAAAAAAAAAAGAGAGAGAGAGAGAGAGACUAGUUGUUCAAGCAGAGAAAAAGAAAGUAAAAAGGCCAGUGGGAAUGUAAAAUAGUGCAGCCACUGUGGAAACAGUACAGGGGUUCCUCAAAAUAUUAAACAUAGAAUAACCAUAUGACCCAGCAACUCCGCUAUUGGGUCUAUACCCUGAAGAAUUGAAGAGAUACUUGUACACCCAUGUUCAUAGCAGCAUUAUUCACAAUAACCAAAGUGGAAGCAACUCAAGUGUUCAUUGGUAGAUGAAUAAAUGAAUAAAUAGGCAAAAUGCCAUAGAGACAAAGUAGAACAGCACUCCCAAGGGCUGAGAAGAAGGGGGAAUGGAGAAUUACUGUUUAAUUCAGGGUUACUGGUACAGGGUUCCAGCUGGGGAAGAUGAAAGGAUUCUGGAGAUGGAUGGCAGUAAUGAUUAUACAACAAUAUGAAUGCACUUAAUACCACUGAGUUGUACACUUAAAAAUGGUUAAAAUGGCAAAUUUCUUAUUAUGUGUGUUCUACCACAAUGAAAAAAAAGGAGGUUUGUGUCUGGUCCUGGAGACACAGACUCCCUGAGUCUGUGCCGCAGCAACACCGAGCAAUGCUGUGAUCUUCCAGAAUGCCAGUAAGGGUGAGCCCUUGGCCAUGUGUCCUUUGAGCGAUGUGCAAAGUUCCAAAGACAGAAGGAAUAUCUGGGAUUUGGUUAUGAGGAUAUAUGCUGCCCUAGAAUUGUCCCAGGUUUUCAUGCCAGGGUGGAGACCUCACACACCAUGGUGGCAGGGGAUUUCUGCAGGGAGAAGUCUGCUGACAAACCCAUCUUAUGGGUUCUGGCAUCUUGGCCACAGACAGCAGUCAGCUGUUUUUCAUCUGCACUGCUAAUAGGGUCUAGCUGAAUGGCUAACAAGCAAGGUGAAAUGUAGCAUGAAUGUUUUGAAAGCCAUGGAGCCUCACUUUGGGUUCAGGAGUAGCAAAACUAGCAAGAAGGUCACUGUUGCUGAUUGGGGACAAAUGUGAUGAGUGUUGGGGGCUUAAACAACAGGGAUGUAUUUUCUCACAGUUCAGGAGGCUGCAAGUUGGAGAUCAGGGUGACAGCAUGAUCAGGUUCGGGUGAGGGCUCUCUUCCUGACUUGCAGACAAGCACCUCCCUGACCUGCCUUGCAAGAAAUGUUAAAAGAAGUGCUUUAGAGAGCAGGGAAAUUCUAUAGGUCAGACACUUGGAUCUACAUAAAAAAAGGAAGAAACCAAAGGAGAAAUAAGUGAAGGCAUGGAAACCUUGUUCCACACAUUGCCUGGUGCCCUGUCCAGCGCUGCAAGGUGCACUGCGUCUCCUCUGCCCAGCAAGCCACAAGCCCCUCCAGGGUGAGAGGAGAGCCUUCCCUUCCCUUGGUCCUCCCUUCGACACAGGGAGCUGGAGCUGGACAGCCCCAUAGGCACUCAGGGCUUGAAGAAGAUAUCUAGAAAUGUCAAAGCAGAAGAGCCUCGGAGAUAAUCUGAACUAUUUCUGAGUUUAUAUAAGGGAAAACUGAGACUGGAGAGAACUAACAUGUCUAAUAUUACAAUGGAAACUUGUAAUAAAACCACAAAU